UGGGGAAUCUUGCGCAAUGGGCGAAAGCCUGACGCAGCGACGCCGCGUGGAGGAUGAGGCGCUUCGGCGUGUAAACUCCUGUUGCCCGGGACGAAGACACGGAUUGGUCCGUGGUGACGGUACCGGGUGAGGAAGCACCGGCUAACUCUGUGCCAGCAGCCGCGGUAAUACAGAGGGUGCGAGCGUUGUCCGGAAUCACUGGGCGUAAAGGGCGCGUAGGUGGCUGGGUACGCGUGCCGUGAAAGCCCGGGGCUCAACCCCGGGUCGGCGGUGCGAACGGCUUGGCUGGAGCACACGAGAGGCAGGCGGAAUCCCGGGUGUAGCGGUGGAAUGCGUAGAGAUCCGGAAGAACACCGGUGGCGAAGGCGGCCUGCUGGCGUGUGGCUGACACUGGGGCGCG
rnacentral:rRNA from 1 species